GUUUUUAUAGUUUAAAUUACCCCAAAACAUUGGUCUUGUAAACCAAUAAUGAAUUGAUUUCUAAAAACU
rnacentral:tRNA from 1 species